rnacentral:lncRNA from 10 species
AUCACAGGCACUGGGACUUGAAAAGGGCUGGGCUGAAGAUGUAUAUACCUGGGUGUGAAUGAGGAGGUGGGAGGCAGGGCCAUGGAGGACGCUGCAGGACUGUGCACAGAAUGAAAGGAACUCAUAGAAGGAACCAAAAUAUUCAUUUUGCAGAAAUUAGUGGAAGGAGAAGAGAUUGGAAAGGAGCAGCCAGAGAAAUUUAUGAAAAUCCAAAGCAAAUGCUGUCCCAGAAGCCAAAGGGAGAGACGCUGUGGCGUUCCAGGUGGAGUUCAGCGAUAUCGGAUGCUUUGAAGAGGACAGGACAGAUGAAGGAUAAAAAGUUCUGUUGAACUUGGCAGUGAGGAGGGCACUGCAAAACUUGACAAGAACAGUUGCCGUCAGCUGGAAGAGAAGACUGAGAACAAGUUGGGAGAACUAGGCUCCUCCGCUGAGAGCAAGGGGGCCUUGAAGAAGGAGAGAGAGGUGCACCAGAAGCUCCUGGCAGACAGUCACAGCCUGGUCAUGGACCUGCGCUGGCAGAUCCAUCACAGCGAGAAGAACUGGAACCGGGAGAAGGUGGA